AACAAAUAAGUCAUACAAGCUUUAAUAUUACAAGCCAGGGGCCUUGAGGGCUCGAAUACAAAUGCUUGACCAUACAGAGUCAGCGGAAGCAACAAUAUCUGAGUAAGACAUAAGUUAAAGAAGGUGCCAUAAGAUGGAUAGCACAAACCGGGGAUACAGAUCAAAAGAGGCGCGGGCCUCCUGCCUGAGAUCCUCCUAAACUUCUCCUGGUCGUCGGCAUCCUGCACGUAGUAGUAGGCACCCUCGGUGUAGUAGGGGUCAUCAUCGACGGUAGCAUCUGGCUCCUAGGCUCCAACAUCUGGUUGCGACAUCCGAGAAGAAUGGAAAAGGGGGGAAAGAGGGAGCAAAGCAACCGUGAGUACUCAUCCAAAGUAGUCGCAAGCAAGGAUCUACACUACAUAUGCAUUGGUAUCAAUGAAAUGGAUAGAAUCUAUGGACUGAACUGCAGAAUGCCAAAAUAAGAGGGGGAUAGCUAGUCCUAUCGAAGACUACGCUUCUGGCAGUCUCCGUUCUAAAGCAUAUAGAAGAGAGUAGCAAGGCAUAGCAUAAUCCUACCCGGCGAUCCUCCCCUCGUCGCCAUGUGGGAAAGCGAUCACUGGGUUAUCUCUGGAACUUAUCUGGGUGUGUUUUAUUAAGUAUCUGGUUCUAGUUGUCAUAAGGUCGAAGUACAACUCCGGUAGUCCUUUUACCGAGGGACACGGCUAUUCGAAUAGAUAAACUUCCUACAGGGGUGCACCACAUUACCCAACAUGCUCGAUCCCUUUGGUCGGGCACACUUUCCUGGGUCAUGCCCGGCCUUGGAAGAUCAACACGUCGCAACCCUAUCUAGGCCUAAUAAAGAGGUCAGCACGCCGAUCUAAAUCCUAAGCGCGCAGAGGUCUUGGGCCCAUCGCCCUUUGCACUCCUGCACGUUGCCAGGGAGGCCAGAAGUAGACCUAGCCUCCCUAAUACAAGAGCAGGUGUUCCAGUCCAAUCCGGCGUGCACCGCUCAACCGCUGACGUCUAGGAGGCUUCGGCUGAUACCACGACGUCGAGAGCCCAUAACUGUUCCCACGUAGUUGGUUAGUGCAUAUAGGCUCGUAGCCACACUCAGAUUAAAUACCAAGAUCUCAUUAAGCGUGUUAUUUUGAAGUAACAGUGGACGCCGACCAGGGACCAGGCCCACCUGUCUCCUAGGUGGUCUCAACCCGCCAUGUCGCUCUGCCACAAAGUAAUAGUCGGGGGCCUUCGAGAACCCAGGGCCAUCACGAUCUGGAUGGAACCACAUGUCCCUUCAGCCCCCCACAUCGGAAUCACUUGCGGGUACUCUAUGAGCCGACCCGACUUUAAUCACAUCAUGUAACUUGUAUAAUAUGUAUGUAUGUAUAUACCUGUGAUCACCUCCCGACUGAUCACGGCCCAAUAGCAUAGCAUGACAGACAAACAAGAAUGUAGGGCCACUGAAAUACUAGCAUCCUAUAUUAAGCAUUUAGGAUAGCAGGUAAAGGUAUCAACAAUUAUAGCAACAAUGACAAGCUAUGCAACAAAAUAGGAGCUAUUGAAUCAACAACGGUAGCAAAACUAAUGCAAGAAUAAGAGAAAAGAGAGUGGGCAAUAUAUGAUUGAUCAAGAGUAGUCAAUCGAGGCAGCAGCAGCGUCAGUCUCAUAGUCUACCAGAGAGAAGAAGGGGGAAAGAAACAAUAAAUACAAUGCGAACAGAUGCAGCACAAAGCAAGACAUAGUAAUACGCGAUGCUAGGGGUGAUCUAACGCAAUGCUAGGUGAUAUAGGUGGAGGGGGGAAACAUCCGGGAAUGUUUUCCCGAAGUUUGAAAUUUUUGGGUAGAUGAAUCGGAGGGGAUGGUUCCAUGUUCAGCAUGCUAGGGGCGUGUGAAAGAUGAACAGAGCGUGUAUUCAGAUUUGUCAUGUUUUCUCUAAGCAACUUUGAUGUAUAAAAUAUUUUCAUCCGAGUUACGAAUUAUUUUAUAUGAUUUUCAAAGUUUUUAAAUGAUUUUCUAAUUUUCGGAUUUAAUUUAAUUAGAAAUUAAGUUAGUAUUUAAAUGCUAUGGGUACACAGAAAGUGUACCCAGAAGUGUGCACCUGAGGCUGACAGGUGGGGAUAGUUGACUAACUCAACUACCCAGUCAGCAGAGGCUGACAGGUGGGCCAGGGGAUGCUGACUUAGUGGUCAAUAGGUCAACAUUAACCCGUCAAUGUAUUUAGCAGGUAUUUAUUUUAAAAUUUCUCUAAUUACUUGGCGUGGCCCACAUGUCAUACUCUAGUUUAUUAAUAGGUUUAUUUUUAAAACAGGGUUAGUUUAGUGGGUGGGCCCCCGGUGCCAGUGAAUGUUUAUGGGGGAUUAGUGGCUGACGACAGCCACGUCACGAUUAGCGCCAGUGACGAACUACAGAGCGGCAGCGGCACGGGAGCUUGCCGGAAACGGCGUACGGGGAGUCGAUCGCGGCGGGGCUGGGUCCAUUCGAACGCCUGCGUGAUGGGGCAUCGCAUGGGGGUGGUGGCACAGCCGGGGGUGGUCGGUGUCGACCGCUACGCGGGCGGCCGGCGGCAAUAGAAGUCGGGCGAGACGGGAAGCAGUGGUCGGGGUAAGGCCAAGAGGGUGUGGGGAGCGGGAGGUAGGCUGCGGGUGCGCGCGCGCAGGCGGGCGCAGCAGAGGGCGGUCCAGGGCGUGCGGGAGCACGGCAAUGGGCGCGCGCUGACGCGGGGAGCGCGAGCUCACCGAGGCACCGGGUGCGACGGCGUACGACGACUAUGGUUAAGAAGGCGGGAUAGGGGUUGCGGAGGAGGCUCACAGUGAGCGACGGGGAGCUAGGAAAGUGGUCGGAGCGGCCGGAGACGAGUCGGAGAAGCGGUUCGUCGACGCGUGGAGGUGGUGGCCGAGGCGGAUGGGGAGGACCAGCGAAGGAGAGGCGGGGAUGAGCAGUCCGGCGGUGGUGGUGGCGGCGGGCGAUGGUGACGGUGAGCUGCGUCGGGCGACGUCGGGAGCAGGAGGGGCCGAUCCAGAUCAAGGAAGGAGGGGGGAUCAGGG
rnacentral:lncRNA from 1 species